AUACAGAGGGUGCGAGCGUUAAUCGGAAUUACUGGGCGUAAAGCGCGCGUAGGCGGCUUGGUCAGUCGGAUGUGAAAGCCCCGGGCUCAACCUGGGAAUGGCAUUCGAUACUGCCAGGCUAGAGUAUGGGAGAGGGAAGUGGAAUUUCCGGUGUAGCGGUGAAAUGCGUAGAUAUCGGAAAGAACACCAGUGGCGAAGGCGACUUUCUGGCCCAAUACUGACGCUGAGGUGCGAAAGCGUGGGGAGCGAACAGGAUUAGAAACCCUGUAGUCC
rnacentral:rRNA from 1 species